rnacentral:rRNA from 1 species
AUUGAACGCUGGCGGAAUGCUUUACACAUGCAAGUCGAGCGGCAGCGCGGGGCAACCUGGCGGCGAGCGGCGAACGGGUGAGUAAUGUAUCGGAACGUAUCCUUAAGUGGGGGACAACUAGUCGAAAGACUAGCUAAUACCGCAUACGAUCGAGAGAUGAAAGUGGGGGACCGCAAGGCCUCACGCUUUUGGAGCGGCCGAUAUCCGAUUAGCUUGUUGGUGAGGUAAAGGCUUACCAAGGCUAUGAUCGGUAGCUGGUCUGAGAGGAUGAUCAGCCACACUGGGACUGAGACACGGCCCAGACUCCUACGGGAGGCAGCAGUGGGGAAUUUUGGACAAUGGGGGCAACCCUGAUCCAGCCAUUCCGCGUGAGUGAAGAAGA